CCUCUCAGUUGUUUGAAGAAAAAAAAAGAAAACACAAGAGACUCAGCAGCCUUCAGCAGCUAAGAAGAGGAAUCGGAAGCAUAGCAGAAAGAAGCUGGGGACUCCAGCUGAGGCUGCACAAUCUGGGUGACCUU